rnacentral:rRNA from 1 species
UGCAGUCGAGCGGGGUGAUGUAGCUUGCUACAUUACCUAGCGGCGGACGGGUGAGUAAUGCUUAGGAAUCUGCCUAUUAGUGGGGGACAACAUUCCGAAAGGAAUGCUAAUACCGCAUACGCCCUACGGGGGAAAGCAGGGGAUCUUCGGACCUUGCGCUAAUAGAUGAGCCUAAGUCAGAUUAGCUAGUUGGUGGGGUAAAGGCCUACCAAGGCGACGAUCUGUAGCGGGUCUGAGAGGAUGAUCCGCCACACUGGGACUGAGACACGGCCCAGACUCCUACGGGAGGCAGCAGUGGGGAAUAUUGGACAAUGGGCGCAAGCCUGAUCCAGCCAUGCCGCGUGUGUGAAGAAGGCCUUUUGGUUGUAAAGCACUUUAAGCGAGGAGGAGGCUACUUGGAUUAAUACUCUAGGAUAGUGGACGUUACUCGCAGAAUAAGCACCGGCUAACUCUGUGCCAGCAGCCGCGGUAAUACAGAGGGUGCGAGCGUUAAUCGGAUUUACUGGGCGUAAAGCGUGCGUAGGCGGCUUCUUAAGUCGGAUGUGAAAUCCCUGAGCUUAACUUAGGAAUUGCAUUCGAUACUGGGAAGCUAGAGUAUGGGAGAGGAUGGUAGAAUUCCAGGUGUAGCGGUGAAAUGCGUAGAGAUCUGGAGGAAUACCGAUGGCGAAGGCAGCCAUCUGGCCUAAUACUGACGCUGAGGUACGAAGCAUGGGGAGCAAACAGGAUUAGAUACCCUGGUAGUCCAUGCCGUAAACGAUGUCUACUAGCCGUUGGGGCCUUUGA